rnacentral:rRNA from 1 species
AUUGAACGCUGGCGGCAGGCUUAACACAUGCAAGUCGAGCGAGCGGCGGACGGGUGAGUAAUGGAUGGGAACCUGCCUGAUGGAGGGGGCUAACUACUGGAAACGGUAGCAACUAGCGCAUACCGCAAGAUGGGCCCUGAUUGGAUUAGCUAGUAGGUGGGGUAAUGGCACAUCUAGACGACGAUCCCUAGCUGGUCUGAGAGGCUGACCAGCCACACGGGAACUGAGACACGGUCCAGACUCCUACGGGAGGCAGCAGUGGGGAAUAUUGCACAAUGGGCGCAAGCCUGAUGCAGCCAUGCCGCGUGUGUGAAGAAGGCCUUCGGGUUGUAAAGCACUUUCAGCGAGGAGGCGUUACUCGCAGAGGAAGCACCGGCUAACUCCGUGCCAGCAGCCGCGGUAAUAC